UACAGAGGCCCCAAGCGUUACUGAGAAUCACUGGGUUUAAAGGGUGCGUAGGUGGCGCGUUAAGUCCGUUGUGAAAUCCCUUGGCUCAACCAAGGAAUGGCUUCGGAUACUGGCGUGCUUGAGGCCGGUAAGGGUCACUGGAACUGACGGUGGAGCGGUGAAAUGCGUAGAGAUGUGGAGGAACACCGAUGGCGAAGGCAGCCUCCUGGGCCAGCACUGACGCUCAUGCACGAAAGCGUGGGGAGCAAACAGG
rnacentral:rRNA from 1 species